GCCGAGCUUAGUAGCGUGAGCUUGUAACACAAGUGGGGGCAUUGAAGUGGUUGGAUAAUGGGUCAGCCCUGAAAGGUUGGGUUUAGAAGUGCAAUUUACUGACCAGCCCGUUCCAAAUUGGGAGUUGGACUGUGUGACCCAGGCGAAGGCUUGAGUCACCUGGUCCCUGAAGAAGAGGGCAAUGCGUCAGGCUGGAUCCACAGAGCAACGAUAACCUCUCGCUCUUGAUGGUGGAAGGAUAACGGGUCGGGGCACCCUUGACCCGAUAACACCCUAAGGGUUGGUCUCCUUUGGACAACCACUUUU
rnacentral:SRP_RNA from 1 species